rnacentral:lncRNA from 1 species
CCCACAUCGGAGAGACACACUACGUUCUCCUAUCUAACAUCCAGAGUUCUUCACACCUGCGUCGAUCGACCAGGUACCCGACAGGUGUCAUUUUGAAGCCUGGAGUCUGGACCUCCUGAACAACUACCCGACUGAACCUAGGAAGACGAGGCAGGCUUUGACUGUGUCAUGUCAUAGGAUGAAUUCACACAAGGCAGAUGGUAGACAACACGUUUGGAGAGGGCAUGGAGAGAGGUAUGAUCCGGAAGCAGACCAACAGCUCGAUAGGUACGGUGGUGGCGGCGUCAUGGUCUCAGCUGGCAUCACAUACGACAACUGGACGGAUUUGAUGAUCGUGUAAAGCAACAAGACCGGGCAAUGUAAUGUGGACGUAAUGUUACAUCCAGUGGUAAUCCCAGUGUGAAGGUCAGAACUAGGAGUUUCCAGGAUGACAAUGCAUGUCUUCACAGAACCUGUGUUGCAGUUGACUGUCUGAGACAGCACAGUGUCACAACAUUGGCCUGGCCAGCCGCGACUUUGUAGUUAGGCUCUUUGUGGUUAAUUAUUCAGCCAACUGGCAUAAAAUAUGCAAAAAGUUUACAAGCUGUCUAGCUUGACAACAGUACAAGGAUCUAUACCAAGGCAUUGCUAUAAUAGUAUAUUAUUGAAGUUGUUAUCCAUAAAUUAUGUCUCCUUUGUCAUCCAUCAACUUCUACAGGGUUAGAACUAAACUAAAAAGCUUUACUAGCCCGGGUAAAGAGAAAUGCCCUUGUAAUGUUAAAACGCAGGGGAAAUGUGGACAUUUUUACUCACCCGCAUAAGUUUAUACUAGCCCCGGGCUAGCGGGCUAGUGUUAAGUUCUAACCCUGUUCUAAUAAAUAAUAGCAACAAAACCCUUUCCCUAUUCACAAGAAAUCUCUAUCUAUGUCGGCCAACAUAUAGUCAAUGAAAUCUAUUAUUACACAAUGCAUUUCUCUCCUCUAAAACUAAAACAAAUAAUUUUCCUGAAUCAUUUUUCUGAUGCUGUGGAAUAGAGGUGGCUAGAUAUUGCUAGAGCUGGCUAGCCUUGCUUUUAUAUAUAUCUACAGGUUUUGUUUCAAUAAAAUAGUUAUAUUCCACAGUCA